AGUCGAGCGGCAGCGGGAAAGUAGCUUGCUACUUUUGCCGGCGAGCGGCGGACGGGUGAGUAAUGCCCGGGGAUCUGCCCAGUCGAGGGGGAUAACAGUUGGAAACGGCUGCUAAUACCGCAUACGCCCUACGGGGGAAAGCAGGGGACCUUCGGGCCUUGCGCGAUUGGAUGAACCCAGGUGGGAUUAGCUAGUUGGUGGGGUAAUGGCUCACCAAGGCGACGAUCCCUAGCUGGUCUGAGAGGAUGAUCAGCCACACUGGAACUGAGACACGGUCCAGACUCCUACGGGAGGCAGCAGUGGGGAAUAUUGCACAAUGGGGGAAACCCUGAUGCAGCCAUGCCGCGUGUGUGAAGAAGGCCUUCGGGUUGUAAAGCACUUUCAGCGAGGAGGAAAGGUUGGCAGCUAAUAUCUGCCAGCUGUGACGUUACUCGCAGAAGAAGCACCGGCUAACUCCGUGCCAGCAGCCGCGGUAAU
rnacentral:rRNA from 1 species